CCUGUAUCUGGGCUUGGCCGUGUCUAGAGGCAAGAGGCCUUGGUGAGCUUACUUGGUUGCUCUGGUUUGAAGAACAGAGGGAUGUUAGCCUUCCAUGGGGAGGCUUCACAGGCUGAGUUCCUCAGAGGCCAGUGGACAUCAAGGUCGUUUUCAAUCUGCUCUAUUAUGAACAAAGCAGCAAUGAACAUGGUUGAGCAAGUGUCUCUGUGGUAAGAUGAAGUGUCCUUUGGGUGCAUACCCAAGAGCAGAACCCCAAGUCUUUAGG
rnacentral:lncRNA from 1 species